GAGUCUGGCCGGAGUGGAGAGGGGGUCCUGGCGAGGUCGCUCCAGAGCCGGUGGUGGUGGCCCCACCUGAGUGACCCCAGCGUGCUCCCGAGAAAUAUAAUUUCUGCUUCACCUAUCAAAUUUCAUAGCAUUCCCUCAUUUUCAAUUUCUCCAGGACCAGAGACUCCCCCUUCUGUUCUGGUGAUUCUGUGGAGCCACCUGCCGAUCCUUGGGAAUUACAGAAGCUUCAGACAAUGGUGACACACCAUCUGACACACUGUUCCCAGGUGGGAG